GACGAACGCUGGCGGCGUGCUUAACACAUGCAAGUCGAACGGAAAGGCCCUGCUUUUGUGGGGUGCUCGAGUGGCGAACGGGUGAGUAACACGUGAGUAACCUGCCCUUGACUUUGGGAUAACUUCAGGAGACUGGGGCUAAUACCGGAUAGGAGCUCCUGCUGCAUGGUGGGGGUUGGAAAGUUUCGGCGGUUGGGGAUGGACUCGCGGCUUAUCAGCUUGUUGGUGGGGUAGUGGCUUACCAAGGCCUUGACGGGUAGCCGGCCUGAGAGGGUGACCGGCCACAUUGGGACUGAGAUACGGCCCAGACUCCUACGGGAGGCAGCAGUGGGGAAUAUUGCACAAUGGGCGGAAGCCUGAUGCAGCAACGCCGCGUGCGGGAUGACGGCCUUCGGGUUGUAAACCGCUUUCGCCUGUGACGAAGCGUGAGUGACGGUAAUGGGUAAAGAAGCACCGGCUAACUACGUG
rnacentral:rRNA from 1 species